ACUUUCUCUGAAGCUACUACUUCUAAACCUGCUACAAGCAAGGCUUAUUUUCGAAAAAAGACCUACAAACCAAGGAAGAAACUUCAAGGAGAGCCCUCGGCAAAUGGAAAAGAAAAAACUGUUUAAACUCUCAGGACAGGCUCUCUCAGCUUCAGAUCGCUUUGGAACAAGAGCAGUCUUCAGUUCUUCCUUCAACAAUUCAAAUGAAUAACCUCAAGAAUCAGUUAAAUCAAGCUUAUAGAGAGGAAGAAUCAUAUUGGAGUAAAAAAAGUAGAGAAAAAUGGAUGCAAGAAGGAUCUCAUAAUACGAAGUUUUUCCAUGCUUCUGUCUAAGCCAACAGAACACAAAAGAGAAUAGACAUUUUGAAAGAUUGCAAUGGCAAUAAUAAAAAAAUCAGAAGCUUCUAAAGGUGAAAUUGCCACAGCUUA